rnacentral:rRNA from 1 species
CGAACGCUGGCGGCAGGCCUAAUACAUGCAAGUCGAACGGCUCUUCGGAGCAGUGGCGGACGGGUGAGUAACGCGUGGGAAUGUGCCCUUUGGUACGGAACAACACAGGGAAACUUGUGCUAAUACCGUAUGUGCCCUUCGGGGGAAAGAUUUAUCGCCAUUGGAGCAGCCCGCGUUGGAUUAGGUAGUUGGUGAGGUAAAGGCUCACCAAGCCUACGAUCCAUAGCUGGUCUGAGAGGAUGAUCAGCCACACUGGGACUGAGACACGGCCCAGACUCCUACGGGAGGCAGCAGUAGGGAAUCUUGCGCAAUGGGCGAAAGCCUGACGCGGCCAUGCCGCGUGAAUGAUGAAGGUCUUAGGAUUGUAAAAUUCUUUCACCGGGGAAGAUAAUGACGGUACCCGGAGAAGAAGCCCCGGCUAACUUCGUGCCAGCCGCCGCGGUAACAC